rnacentral:rRNA from 1 species
GACAGAGGGUGCCAGUGUUAUUCCUCGUAAUUUGGCGUAAAGGGUACGUAGAUGGUUUAAGCGAUCUUCAAUUAAAAGACAUAGUAUAACUGUGGUGAAUUGAAGGGAUUGAUAGACUAAGAGUGUAGUAGAGAUAAGUGGAUUUUAUGGGAUAGCGGUGAAAUUCAGAGAUCCCAUAGGGCCACCAUAUGGCGAAGGCGACUAUUCAGAUUACACUGACAUUGAGGUACGGAGGCAUGGAGAUCAAACGGG